UGAGGGGAAUAAAAAGUGGAGGUGGAGGGGAGGAGAAAAGGAACAGAACUGGAAUAUAAGUCACCAGAAUAAGACUGGAUGUAUGCAAAGAAUCACAGCACUAGGAUGAAGUCAUUGCUGAUCGUGAUCGUGGUGUGUCUGUUGCUGACUGAAUCUGAUGGAAAACGUAAAUCCAAGAAAAAUAGGAUCUCAUUACCCAGAGGAGUUAGGAAGAUUCAAGAGGCCCUGGACCCUAAUCGAAUUGUAAAUACUUUGAAAUGGAAAACUGGAUCCAAAGAUCUGGCUAAAGUAACAGAGGAUGCCAUUGUAUAUGAACAUUUGAGAUUGACGACCCAAGGUGAGUUGUGAUCAUGGAAGUGAUGAUGCCAUUGCUCAGGUGUUCACAUGGUUGAAUGUGUAGUUACUGUGUUGUCAUUUCCUUCCCCUCAGUGAUGAACUGGCUUCAUAAAGUGGUUGACGUUGGAAAAGGCAUUGCUAACGGUGUCUGCAAGACAGUCAGCUAUGUAUGAGGGACUUGAAGCUAGACUUGACAGUAAUGAACACAGUGUCAAUACUGUAGAUGGACAGCAGAGGUCACCUUUCUCAUGAACAUUUUCUACGGGACAGCUGGGAGCAAAGCUGGUGUGAAAAG